rnacentral:rRNA from 1 species
CCAAGGAAGGCAGCAGGCGCGCAAAUUACCCAAUCCCGAUCCGGGGAGGUAGUGACAAUAAAUACUGAUACAGGGCUCUUUUGGGUCUUGUAAUUGGAAUGGGUACAAUCUAAAUCCCUUAACGAGGAACAAUUGGAGGGCAAGUCUGGUGCCAGCAGCCGCGGUAAUUCCAGCUCCAAUAGCGUAUAUUAAAGUUGUUGCCGUUAAAAAGCUCGUAGUUGAACCUUGGACCUGGCCGAUCUGUCCUCCUAAUCGAGCGCACGGACUCGGUCGGGUCUUUCCUUCUGGGGAGCCCUAUGCCCUUCACUGGGUGUAGCGGGGAACCAGGACUUUUACCUUGAAAAAAAUUAGAGUGUUCAAAGCAGGCCUUUGCUCGAAUACAUUAGCAUGGAAUAAUAGAAUAGGACAUCGGUUCUAUUUUGUUGGUUUCUAGGACCGCUGUAAUGAUUAAUAGGGAUAGUCGGGGGCGUCAGUAUUCAGCUGUCAGAGGUGAAAUUCUUGGAUUUGCUGAAGACUAACUACUGCGAAAGCAUUCGCCAAGGAUGUUUUCAUUAAUCAGGGAACGAAAGUUAGGGGAUCGAAGACGAUCAGAUACCGUCGUAGUCUUAACCAUAAACUAUGCCGACUAGGGAUCGGACGGGAUUCUAUUAUGACCCGUUCGGCACCUUACGAGAAAUCAAAGUUUUUGGGUUCUGGGGGGAGUAUGGUCGCAAGGCUGAAACU